GCUUUAUACAGCACACAAGUGUGCAGCUGCAUUCUUUGCACUAUGCUUUCCACUCCUGUUGUGAGAAAAGGAGCAGCUCUACCAUGCUCACAAGUUUCCAGAUCAUUUCCUGCAACUAGCAGCAUCGGGUUCCUGCCUGGAGCACCUGAGAUGGCGGCCGUCUCCUCAGGGUUUUCCAAUGAACGUAGUGGGAAUGGAAGCCUGCAGUAACCUCUGAUGGCCAGAAACAGGCAAUGUCCUGUCUGCAUAGCCACUUUUCAAAAGGCUCUGCAGCUUCAUAUUUAUAGAGCAUUGUCAGCUGUGAUGACAAUGAUCUACCCUGCAGUCACAUUACCAUUAAUUUUCCGUGGACAGCAGUGCUCAUUUUAUAGGUAUGUGUAUAUUAUGCCUACUUUAAAAAAUGGC